CGGGGCGUAGCUCAGCCUGGUAGAGCACCUGCUUUGGGAGCAGGGGGUCGUUGGUUCGAAUCCAGUCGCCCCGACCA
rnacentral:tRNA from 1 species